rnacentral:rRNA from 1 species
GACGUAGGGCGCGAGCGUUGUCCGGAUUUAUUGGGCGUAAAGAGCUCGUAGGCGGCUUGUCGCGUCGACUGUGAAAUCCCGGGGCUCAACUUCGGGCUUGCAGUCGAUACGGGCAGGCUAGAGUUCGGUAGGGGAGACUGGAAUUCCUGGUGUAGCGGUGAAAUGCGCAGAUAUCAGGAGGAACACCGAUGGCGAAGGCAGGUCUCUGGGCCGAUACUGACGCUGAGGAGCGAAAGCGUGGGGAGCGAACAGG